rnacentral:rRNA from 1 species
CCUACGGGUGGCAGCAGUGAGGAAUAUUGGUCAAUGGACGAGAGUCUGAACCAGCCAAGUAGCGUGAAGGAUGACUGCCCUAUGGGUUGUAAACUUCUUUUAUAUGGGAAUAAAAUGUUCCACGUGUGGGAUUUUGUAUGUACCAUAUGAAUAAGGAUCGGCUAACUCCGGGCCAGCAGCCGCGGUAAUACGGAGGAUCCGAGCGUUAUCCGGAUUUAUUGGGUUUAAAGGGAGCGUAGGUGGAUUUGUAAGUCAGUUGUGAAAGUUUGCGGCUCAACCGUAAAAUUGCAGUUGAAACUGGCAGUCGUGAGUACAGUAGAGGUGGGCGGAAUUCGUGGUGUAGCGGUGAAAUGCUUAGAUAUCACGAAGAACUCCGAUUGCGAAGGCAGCUCACUGGACUGCAACUGACACUGAGGCUCGAAAGUGUGGGUAUCAAACAGGAUUAGAUACCCCGGUAGUC